rnacentral:rRNA from 1 species
AUUGAACGCUGGCGGCAGGCCUAACACAUGCAAGUCGAGCGGAGCGGCGGACGGGUGAGUAAUGUAUGGGGAUCUGCCCGAUAGAGGGGGAUACCUACUCGAAAGAGUGGCUAAUACCGCAUACUAUUGGCGCGGCCGCUAUCGGAUUAGCUAGUUGGUGGGGUAAAGGCUCACCAAGGCAACGAUCCGUCGCUGGUUUGAGAGGACGACCAGCCACACUGGGACUGAGACAAGGCCCAGAAUCCUACGGGAGGCAGCAGUGGGGAAUGUUGGACAAUGGGGGAAACCCUGAUCCAGCCAUCCCGCGUGUAUGAUGAAGGCCUUCGGGUUGUAAAGUACUUUUGGCAGAGAAGCGGUAUCUGCAGAAUAAGCACCGGCUAACUACGUGCCAGCAGCCGCGGUAAUAC